UAAGGCCAUACCAGGCUGAACACCGGCUCUCGCCCGAUCACCGAAGUUAAGCAACGUCGAGCCUGUUCAGUACCUAGAUGGGUGACCACUUGGGAAUAUCAGG